AUUUUCAACCUGUUGUAGGCUUCAGAAUUGCUUAGAGGCUUCUUAAGAUUCAGAUUUCUGGGUCCUGCCCCUGAGUUGCUGACUCAGAAAAGACUGAAGGAUGAGCACAAAAUAUAUGUAUUUCUUACCAACUCAAAGAUACUAAUAAUUCUGGAUCUUUGAGAAUUACUGAUAUAAAUAAUUUUGCCCACUAAGCCAUGUUUUUCCUACAUUAACCUCCACCAAUAUUCGUUCACAGAUUGUGAAACACACAUACACACACACACACACACACACUCAAACGUAUAAUUUAUUGGGUUGUUUUGUUUUCGUUUUGUUUUUCUGGUGGUGUGGAGACAAAACCCAGGGCCUCAUGCAUUGCUAAGCAAGUACUUUACCCUGAGCCACACCCCUAGCCCAAUGUACAAUUUCAUUCUUUCAAAAUUAUUUUUUUCUUCUGUCUCCACAAAGAUCUAUGAACGGCUAAAAGCAGAAAAAUAAAUAUAUCCAUUUCUUUAUAAUUUACAUUUUCUAUCAUCCUGCAGUCUUUCUGCUUCCAAAUAGAAUAAACUUCCAAAUUAAAAUCAAACAGAUCAAAGAACAUGGUUUAAGAUAAACCUGCAAGAAAGCCAAAACUCUGAGUGAAGCAUUCAUUACACAGACAUGGGGCCAAGAAACCACCAAUUUAAUUCAAGUUGAAAAGGAGUUAAUGUAAAUGGCAAGAGAAACUAAUAGUGAAUAUAGAAGAAUUUUUUUUUUUUGCAAAUGAGCCUAUAUUUGCACGUUAAAAUCAUGGAUCUCUAUCUCUAACUUCCUAAUCUAAAUGUGUUAUUUUGAUGCAAAUCAAUCCAACAAUAUGUCAUGGCUUGGGAAAUAAAUAAAUGCUUU
rnacentral:lncRNA from 1 species